rnacentral:rRNA from 1 species
AGACGAACCGUCCAAACGUUAUUCGGAAUCACUGGGCUUAAAGGGUGCGUGGGCGGCCUUGUAAGUCGGGUGUGAAAGCCCACGGCUCAACCGUGGAAUUGCGCCCGAUACUGUAAGGCUAGAGGGAGAUAGAGGUGAGUGGAACUAAUGGUGGAGCGGUGAAAUGCGUUGAUAUCAUUGGGAACACCGGUGUCGAAGGCGACUCACUGGAUCUCUUCUGACGCUGAGGCACGAAAGCUAGGGUAGCGAACGGGAUUAGAAACCCUUGUAGUCC